AAGCGCUUGGUGUUAAAGCUACAGUUUGGCAACGUUGGGUGUCAGACUGUCUGUUCAUUGACAAGACAAAUAACUAAAUAGAAAAAUAAGAAAAUGUCGGCAUUGUCUGUCAAGGAUUUGAACCAAUUGUUAACUAUCUUAGAUGCCGAGAAUGUCGCUAAUCAAAGUGUCGAGGCCUUGGCAUCUCAGCUGGGGGUGUUUAAUAAACAAGAAUAUUUUAAAGUUGGUAACGCCUUAGUUAUGCUACUUCAGAAUGCAGAUCUGCUACCAUCAUCAUCACAGAGACUGGCUGCAGUGUUAUUGCUGCAUGAGCUUUUCAAGCCAGAUGCUCAAAAUUUCCAUCCAUUCUCCUCAGUUUUUGUACAGCUUCUUGCUGAAGAAUCUUUAUUAGCAAAGAGACCAGAGUCAUACAGACUACCAAAACUAAGUCCCCCAGAAAAGAUUUAUUUAUCACACCUCAUAACUAAUCCCCAGAAAGACAUGUACAAAAAAACUCUCCGACAAAUAUUGAAUUUGGAGACCACCAACUCAAUGGCUGAUAUUUCAGCCCUUCAAACAAGUGUAUCAGAACGGCUUUCAGAUUACACAUUAGCAAGCAAAAGUAGACUACCAGCUAUCCUCUCUAUGCCCGACGUCAGACCGGGCUUCGAUCCAGCACUUCCGGAUAGUAGCGCAAUCAAAAAGACGGCUGAAGCUCUUGUUAUGGGGCCCAACGCUGCUAUACAAGAGUCUGUGGGUCCCGAAUUUGUUCGACUGGCCCCUCCCCUCUUUUGCCCAGAUGAGCUCGUGUGGCUUGAUCCGAUAGGCGAAGCUGACCACACGAUCGCCUACGACACAACAGUUUGCAUACCUAGAGGGGCCGGCUCUGAAGCUCGUCGACUGAUUUCGCAAGCUUUCACCGGUUCUCUGACUCUGUUACAGCAGAACAGGCUACUAAGCGAAUUAGAGCGAGAUUCCCGUCUAGUCUAUCACGUGGGAAUAACCCCUAACAAACUACCUGCUCUAGUGGAAAACAAUCCACUCAUCGCAAUUGAGGUGCUUCUGCGACUAAUGCAGUCUUCUCAGAUAACAGAAUAUUUGAGCGUCCUGGUUAAUAUGGAAAUGUCACUGCAUUCGAUGGAAGUAGUCAAUCGGCUGACGACGGCUGUCGAGUUGCCAACUGAAUUUGUCCACUUAUACAUUUCCAAUUGCAUUUCAACGUGUGAAACUAUCAAAGACCGUUACAUGCAGAACCGUUUAGUCCGGCUAGUUUGCGUUUUCUUGCAGUCACUCAUUCGCAAUAAGAUCAUUAACGUUCAAGAGCUGUUUAUUGAAGUGCAAGCAUUUUGCAUAGGCUUCAGUCGCAUCCGCGAAGCAGCUGCCUUGUUUCGCCUGCUCAAACAACUCGACAGUGGUGAUCAAAGUGGCCUCAACACUACUUCAUCCAUCGCAUCUUUUCCCGGUCUGUCCUCACUCUCAGCCCCUUCGUUCAAUUCUCAGGCAUCACCCGUUGCAUCAGCUGCUAAAGGCAAAGGGGAAUGAAAUUGUUGUUAUUAGCAAUGACGCUCAAUCGUCUGUUCGCGUCAUAAAUGAUGUUGAAACGAAAGGCUUCGUACAGUAUAUGCUACAGAACAGAAGACUAGAGAUCGGAAAAGCAUUGAUAUAAACUUGUUUUCAUUGACAAAUACUAAUGCAUGUGAUGAGAAAGUACAGCGCUAUUAGCAGCCAU
rnacentral:misc_RNA from 1 species